GAUCAAAGAUGGUUAGAAGGAAUAAGAUAACCGACUCCCGUCUUUUCUAGGCGACAUGAAUAGCGCCGCUCUGGAGAGUCAAAAGCCAACUAAUAUGCAACGUUCUCCUACACUGAUAGAAAAAUAAUAGUAUGUUUAAACAUACACCCAUUCUUAUUUUUACUACGCCGUAAAAUGAUAACCAUAACCAUGAAAAUGGUUAUGUGUAUCGAAAAAUUGUGACGACAACUAUAAAUCCGCGACAAUUUAAAUAGUAAUCUUUACCGUACAACGUAGUUGGCCAAAAUGUUCUGGAAGACUGUUUUGCUGUGGUUUCUAAAACGUCCAUACCUACAACCAAGUACCUAACUACAUAAACUGUUUCAACUGUAGAUAACAAUUGAUUUUAUCCCGAAUACAUAUUUGGUUUACGACACCCCUACGAUAUUGCAUCGGUUCUGUUUGUUCACAAACUGAACAUGGCUGACUUGGAGGACUAAACCGAAUCGCAGUGCUUCGGCGGAAUCAAGAGCACGCUGAGAUAUGUUCAACCCGGAAGAUGGUCCCGUGAUAAUCACUGAUGGCUCCAGCAAAAUGUUCGGCAACUACGAAUGGGUCGACGUGAUGAUCUUCGCCCCGAACGGGUGAAACGACAUUUCCCCCGAUCGGCAUGAACUCCUUUUGCAGAAACCGCUGAUAGAGCAAUCGAAAUCAACAUACCCCGUCCGGUCCAUUUUUGUCGAACGAGGACGACGACAGCACCAUCAAUCUAACCGGGGACACUGCCAAGCGGUGUGUGCCUUCACGCGGAGUAUCGCCGUAGCCGUCCAGGUAAAAUGGGAUUCAGCCAAUAUCGCUAUUUUGCAUAAAAA